AUUUAAUAUGAAAAAUUAGGUCCUUAUUAAUAGUUAAUAAGGUUAAAUCGGAAGUUCGGUGAAAAUCCGACGCGGUCCCGCCACUGUGAUGGGGAGAUUAUUUUCAACUAAUGCCACUGGAGUAUUUACUCUGGGAAGGCGAAAAUAAUCAAUGAACCUAAGCCAGGACACUUGCCUAAUUUUAGUUUACCUU
rnacentral:ncRNA from 1 species